rnacentral:rRNA from 1 species
UACGUAGGUGGCAAGCGUUUGUCCGGAUUUAUUGGGUUUAAAGGGUGCGUAGGCGGCCCUGUAAGUCAGUGCUGAAAUAUCCCGGCUUAACCGGGAGGGUCACUCGAUACUGAUCGACUUGAAGGCAGGAGAGGGAAGCGGAAUUCCCGGUGUAGUGGUGAAAUGCGUAGAUAUCGGGAGGAACACCAGUGGCGAAGGCGGCUUCCUGGCCUGUUCUUGACGCUGAGGCGCGAAAGCUAGGGGAGCAAACGGGG